AUACUUACCUGACAGGGUUAGGCACCAUGAUUAAUUAGGUGGUCCUCCCAGGGCGAGGCUCAUCCAUUGCACUGCGGGUGGGUUGACCCCUGCGAUUUCCCCAAAUGCGGGAAACUCGACUGUAUAAUUUGUGGUACUGGGGGACUGCGUUCGCGCUAUCCCCCG
ensembl:snRNA U1 U1 spliceosomal RNA